AGCUUGCUCCCUGAUGUUAGCGGCGGACGGGUGAGUAACACGUGGGUAACCUGCCUGUAAGACUGGGAUAACUCCGGGAAACCGGGGCUAAUACCGGAUGCUUGUUUGAACCGCAUGGUUCAAACAUAAAAGGUGGCUUCGGCUACCACUUACAGAUGGACCCGCGGCGCAUUAGCUAGUUGGUGAGGUAAUGGCUCACCAAGGCAACGAUGCGUAGCCGACCUGAGAGGGUGAUCGGCCACACUGGGACUGAGACACGGCCCAGACUCCUACGGGAGGCAGCAGUAGGGAAUCUUCCGCAAUGGACGAAAGUCUGACGGAGCAACGCCGCGUGAGUGAUGAAGGUUUUCGGAUCGUAAAGCUCUGUUGUUAGGGAAGAACAAGUGCCGUUCAAAUAGGGCGGCACCUUGACGGUACCUAACCAGAAAGCCACGGCUAACUACGUGCCAGCAGCCGCGGUAAUACGUAGGUGGCAAGCGUUGUCCGGAAUUAUUGGGCGUAAAGGGCUCGCAGGCGGUUUCUUAAGUCUGAUGUGAAAGCCCCCGGCUCAACCGGGGAGGGUCAUUGGAA
rnacentral:rRNA from 2 species